CCUACGGGUGGCUGCAGUGAGGAAUAUUGGUCAAUGGCCGUAAGCCUGAACCAGCCAAGUAGCGUGAGGGAAGACUGCCCUAUGGGUUGUAAACCUCUUUUAUGAGGGGACAAAGCUGUCCACGUGUGGAUGUUUGCAGGUACCGCAUGAAUAAGGACCGGCUAAUUCCGUGACAGCAGCCGCGGUAAUACGGAAGGUCCGGACGUUAUCCGGAUUUAUUGGGUUUAAAGGGAGCGUAGGCCGGUCUUUCAGCUUGCCGUGAAAUUUUGUGGCCCAACCAUGGGAGUGCGGCGCGAACUGGAGACCUGGAGUGCGCGGAAGGCAGGCGGAAUUCGUGGUGUAGCGGUGAAAUGCUUAGAUAUCACGAAGAACCCCGAUUGCGAAGGCAGCAUGCCGCAGCGUGACUGACGCUGAAGCUCGAAAGCGCGGGUAUCGAACAGGAUUAGAUACCCUAGUAGUC
rnacentral:rRNA from 1 species